rnacentral:rRNA from 1 species
GACGAACGCUGGCGGCGUGCUUAACACAUGCAAGUCGAACGGAAAGGCCCUGCUUUUGUGGGGUGCUCGUGUCGCGAACGUGUGUGUAACACGUGAGUAACCUGCCCUUGACUUUGGUAUAACUUCAGGAAACUGGGUCUUAUACCGGAUAGGAGCUCCUGCUGCAUGUUGGUGGUUGGAAAGUUUCGGCGGUUGGGGAUGGACUCGCGGCUUAUAAGCUUGUUGGUUGGUUAGUUGCUUACCAAGGCUUUGACGGGUAGCCGGCCUGGGAGGGUGACCGGCAAAAUUGGGAGUGAGAUCAGGCCCAAACCCCACGGGGAGGAAGAAGUGGGGAAUAUUGAAAAAGGGGGGGAAGCUUGAGCAAGCAAGGCGGCGGGCGGGAUGAGGGCCUUCGGGUUGAAACCCGCUUUGGCAUGUGACGAAGCGUGAGUGACGGUAAUGGGUAAAGAAGCACCGGCUAACUACGUG